UAUAAAAAUCCACAUUUAUCCAUUUUAGUUUCUCACAAACUCUAUACAAAAAAAAAAGAAGAAGAGCUAGAGAGAGAGUGAGCUAAGAGAAGAAGUGUGAUCAUUUUACAGAGAGUGGGUCGCCGGAGCUCGUCGCCGGAGCAACCGUGCGCCGUGAUCGCGUUCAGCUCGCUACCACCGAUAACCGCCCGAGACCACCAUCGUGUUCCUCUCGUCGAGACGAAGCCGUAGACACCAACCACGCUGCAAUCGGAGCCCGGACGAAGCCGCUAGAGCCUCCCGAAGUUUUGCCUCUGCGCGGGCGUGAAACGCACGCGCCGUCGCCGUCCGCCGGAGCCACCGCGAAUUCCGGCCACUCGCCACCGUCUCCGACCAACGUUCGCCGGAGCCGCCGUGACCGGCCACCGUCCGUUCGCCGCCGAGAAGCUGCCGCCGCGUCGCCGCCUCGCCGCCGUCGCCACCGUUGAUUUUCCGGUAAGCCGCCGCCACCCUCCGCCGUCGCCGCCGGUGACUAUUGCCGGUGACUCGCCGGCGACUCGCCAACUCGGCCGAGUCGACCCGGUGAAUCAACUCGGUGACUCGGUCAACCGGUUGGUUUGACUGGUUUAAAUUGAUUUAGAGUUGGUUAGGUUAAACCGCCGGUUUAAAUCAAUUAGAUUUCGGUUAGGAUAAACCGGUUAGAUAGAUUAAUUAAUUAAUUAAUCAAUUGAUGGUUAAGGUAAACCGGAUGGUUUAAUUGGAAUCGAUUUCGAUUGAAUAAAACCGGUUGGUUUAAAUCAAUUCCAAUCUGGUCAAGGGUUGACCGGCUUGGGUCAAAGUUGACUGGGUUGGCCUUCGACCAGCGUGUUGACUUUUCCGUAAACCUUGAUCCGAUCCGUUCUAAUCCGUUCGAAAGGCGUUUUGACUCGAUUUUUCGCCCUGGUUUCAGAUUUGGAGUCUAUUUGAGCAUCUGGAGUUCAUAGAUACCACUACUUCUUGUUGCUAAGGUGAGGGCUUCUCCGUUUAAAUCCCGAACUAGUUUAGUACUACCAUUAUGGAAAGUUUAGUUUCGAAACAUGAUCCGUCUCUGUGAAUCGAGUCUAUUUGAGAGUCUUGCUUGUUCAUUAUUGAUAUUGAUUGUUAAACCGGAAAUAGGAUAAUAGAGGAUUCAACGGUUGAUUGAAAUGAUUGAUGUUAAGAACUAUUAAAUAUAUAUAUGUAUAUAUGCUAGUCCAUGUGUUGAGAUUGCGGGGUGCAGAGGUGAUUGCACUAGGCCGCAUGUUUGAGAGAACGCGGGGUACGGAGAUAUCUGUACUAGGCCGUGUGUUUAGCGGGGUACAGAGACGUUUGUACUAGGCCGCUUUGUUUGAGAGAUCGCGGGGUACAGAGAUAUCUGUACUAGGCCGUGUGUUUAGCGGGGUACAGAGACGUUUGUACUAGGCCGCUUUGGUUGUGGAGAUUGCGGGGUACAGAGUGGACUACUGUACUUACGACGCUUGUAGAGUCAUAUAUAUUUAUAUCCUUAUAAGGAAAUGCGGUAUGCUAUCAUCGCAUUGGUUGUAGCAUGUCUAGUCCACUAGACAUAUGUUGAUUGUUUCGUGUGGUGUAAUAGACGCCGUGUUUGUUUCAUGCUAGAGCUAGGCCUACAUUUUAGUAGUGCUAUGAACUCAGUCAGUGGUUUGCGGUUUAGCAUUCCAUACCUCACUGGGCGAUUCCCCUGUCGCUCACCCCUCCUUCUUUCCCCUUUCAGGUGAGACCGAUGAGCAGGAGUGAUUAUACCGGACCGGUGCUUUUGGGCUUUUACUACUAUCGAGCUUUGGACUUCUAUCACUUUUAUCGUUUUAUCGCUUUUGGGCCUUUGGGCUCCUAUCUACCGUUUAUGUUAUCUUGUAUUUUGGACUUUCGGUUUAUGUCGUACUUUAUAUUUCGAAUGUUAUCGUUAUUGAGCCUUUAGGCCUUAUGAUAUUGUAUUGACUUUUAUAUUUAUAAAUGGAGAUUUCAUAAACUAUUAUUUA